AGCGCGAAGCACGAGGAAUUUCGCGUGAAUCAGCCCGGACCACCGGGUAAGGCUAAAUACAAUUUGUCACCGAUAGUGCAUCUAGUACCGUGAGGGAAAGGUGAAAAGAACCCCGGGAGGGGAGUGAAAUAGAACCUGAAACCGCAUUAUCUACAAACAGUUGAAGCACCAUGUUAGGAGCAAUCCUAUCAAGUGCGACAGCGUGCCUUUUGCAAAAUGAGUCUGCGAGUUAAUGGUGUUGGCAAGGGUUUAAGUGGUUCAGCCACGAAGCCGAAGGGAAACCGAGUCUGAAUAGGGCGUCGAGUCAGCAUCAUUAGACCCGAAACUGUGUGAUCUUGCCAUGGCCAGGUUGAAGUGUUGGUAACACAACAUGGAGGACCGAACUCAUUUGACGUUGAAAAGUCUCGGGAUGAGCUGUGGUAAGUCCGGUGAAAUGCCAAUCGAACACAGAGAUAGCUGGUUCUCUCCGAAAUGCAUUGAGGUGCAGCGUUGCGUGUUGU
rnacentral:rRNA from 1 species